rnacentral:rRNA from 1 species
CCUACGGGAGGCAGCAGUCGAGAAUCAUUCACAAUGGGGGAAACCCUGAUGGUGCAACGCCGCGUGAGUGAAGAAGUAUUUCGGUAUGGAAAGCUCUAUCAGCAGGGAAGUGAAUGACGGUACCUGACUAAGAAGCCCCGGCUAACUACGUGCCAGCACCCGCGGUAAUGCGUAGGGGGCGAGCGUUAUCCGGAUUUACUGGGUGUAAAGGGAGCGUAGACGGUUCUGCAAGUCUGAAGUGAAAGCCCGUGGCUUAACCACGGAACGGCUGUGGAAACUGUGGAACUGGAGUGCUGGAGAGGCAGGCGGAAUUCGUAGUGUAGCGGUGAAAUGCGUAGAUAUUAGGAGGAACACCAGUGGCGAAGGCGGCUUGCUGGACAGUAACUGACGUUGAGGCUCGAAAGCGUGGGGAGCAAACAGGAUUAGAUACCCUAGUAGUC